rnacentral:rRNA from 1 species
GACGAACGCUGGCGGCGUGCUUAACACAUGCAAGUCGAGCGGUAAGGCCCUUCGGGUACGACGAGCGGCGAACGGGUGAGUAACACGUGGGUGACCUGCCUCUAGCUCUGGGAUAAGCCUGGGAAACCGGGUCUAAUACCGGAUAUGACUCCAUGACGCAUGUUGUGGGGUGGAAAGCCUUGUGUGGCUAGAGAUGGGCCCGCGGCCUAUCAGCUUGUUGGUGGGGUGAUGGCCUACCAAGGCGACGACGGUAGCCGGCCUGAGAGGGCGACCGGCCACACUGGGACUGAGACACGGCCCAGACUCCUACGGGAGGCAGCAGUGGGGAAUCUUGCGCAAUGGGCGAAAGCCUGACGCAGCGACGCCGCGUGAGGGAUGACGGCCU